CCAUGAAAAAGUUUUUUUAAACCACUAGAUUAAAAUGGAACAUUAAUCUUACCAUAGACUGUCUACACUAUAUUUUUUCUCACUGUCAUCAACCUCUCAUGUUAUUGACAGGCUUAGCUUUCUGCUUCUCUCUCUCAAACAAAAAAAAAAAAGCUUUCUGCUAUCAAUACCCCCAGCCAACGAAUUCAAUGGCAAAUGAUAGAGAUGAUAAAAUCAUCUUCAAGGAUAAGAUGAGAUCUUCAACAUUUACUGCAUAAAUAAAAAAUGGACAAAAUCAUAAAUGUUUUAACCUUAAAAAUUCCAUGGAACAUAUAAUGCAAUAUAUGAUUAUAUACGCCAUCAUGUGUUAAAAGCUUUAAAAAAAUUACUUUUUUUGACUCCAUUGAUUUGGCCCCUUUUUUGCAAUCCUGGAAUAUAUUUUUUAAUUAAAUGUUGAAGAGUCCGUAAACCCCCCAAAUUCUCAAGAAAAAAUCAUUUCUCAGUACCAAUUUUAUCUAAAAACACAAAACGUCAAUAGUAAAAGAUUGCAGAAGCUUCCGUUAAAUAAGAUUGAAG
rnacentral:lncRNA from 1 species